rnacentral:rRNA from 1 species
AACGAACGCUGGCGGCAGGCCUAACACAUGCAAGUCGAGCGCUCGCCUUCGGGUGGGAGCGGCGCACGGGUGAGUAACACGUGGGAACCUACCUUGAAGUACGGAAUAACUGAGGGAAACUUCAGCUAAUACCGUAUACGCCCUACGGGGGAAAGAUUUAUCGCUUCAAGACGGGCCCGCGUUGGAUUAGCUAGUUGGUGAGGUAAUGGCUCACCAAGGCAACGAUCCAUAGCUGAUUUGAGAGAAUGAUCAGCCACACUGGGACUGAGACACGGCCCAGACUCCUACGGGAGGCAGCAGUGGGGAAUAUUGGACAAUGGGCGCAAGCCUGAUCCAGCCAUGCCGCGUGAGUGAUGAAGGCCUUCGGGUUGUAAAGCUCUUUCAGAUGGGACGAUGAUGACGGUACCAUCGGAAGAAGCCCCGGCUAACUUCGUGCCAGCCGCCGCAGUAA